rnacentral:misc_RNA from 1 species
GUGAAACAGUCUGCUAAGCUUCAUCCUUCUAUGCCUUCCAGUGGCAGUUUUUUCAGAACUGCUCCAAUAUGUGAAGCACAUCUUGACCUGGUACGAGUUAGAACAGGGCAAGUGUAUAAGUUGCAUAGUCCUUGUGCAAGAUACUUGGCUUCCUUGUCAAGUUAUGAUUCUGCCAACCCAACAAAAGAUUGGGGUGUCCCUGAAUUAUCAAUGAACAUUCAAUAUAUCCCCUUAACAAAAUCUAGUGAGAAAAGUGAACUAAAAUUGGCAGAUGAAGACAC